rnacentral:rRNA from 1 species
UUAAGCGACUAAGCGUACACGGUGGAUGCCCUGGCAGUCAGAGGCGAUGAAGGACGUGCUAAUCUGCGAAAAGCGUCGGUAAGGUGAUAUGAACCGUUAUAACCGGCGAUGUCCGAAUGGGGAAACCCAGUGUGAUUCGUCACACUAUCGUUAACUGAAUACAUAGGUUAACGAGGCGAACCGGGGGAACUGAAACAUCUAAGUACCCCGAGGAAAAGAAAUCAACCGAGAUUCCCCCAGUAGCGGCGAGCGAACGGGGAGCAGCCCAGAGUCUGAAUCAGCUUGUGUGUUAGUGGAACGGUCUGGAAAGUCCGACGGUACAGGGUGAUAGUCCCGUACACCAAAAUGCACAGGUUGUGAACUCGAAGAGUAGGGCGGGACACGUGGUAUCCUGUCUGAAUAUGGGGGGACCAUCCUCCAAGGCUAAAUACUCCUGACUGACCGAUAGUGAACCAGUACCGUGAGGGAAAGGCGAAAAGAACCCCGGCGAGGGGAGUGAAAAAGAACCUGAAACCGUGUACGUACAAGCAGUGGGAGCACCUUCGGGUGUGACUGCGUACCUUUUGUAUAAUGGGUCAGCGACUUAUAUUCUGUAGCAAGGUUAACCGUAUAGGGGAGCCGCAGGGAAACCGAGUCUUAACUGGGCGUUAAGUUGCAGGGUAUAGACCCGAAACCCGGUGAUCUAGCCAUGGGCAGGUUGAAGGUUGGGUAACACUAACUGGAGGACCGAACCGACUAAUGUUGAAAAAUUAGCGGAUGACUUGUGGCUGGGGGUGAAAGGCCAAUCAAACCGGGAGAUAGCUGGUUCUCCCCGAAAGCUAUUUAGGUAGCGCCUCGUGAAUUCAUCUUCGGGGGUAGAGCACUGUUUCGGCUAGGGGGUCAUCCCGACUUACCAACCCGAUGCAAACUACGAAUACCGAAGAAUGUUAUCACGGGAGACACACGGCGGGUGCUAACGUCCGUCGUGAAGAGGGAAACAACCCAGACCGCCAGCUAAGGUCCCAAAGUCAUGGUUAAGUGGGAAACGAUGUGGGAAGGCACAGACAGCCAGGAUGUUGGCUUAGAAGCAGCCAUCAUUUAAAGAAAGCGUAAUAGCUCACUGGUCGAGUCGGCCUGCGCGGAAGAUGUAACGGGGCUAAACCAUGCACCGAAGCUGCGGCAGCGACACUAUGUGUUGUUGGGUAGGGGAGCGUUCUGUAAGCCUGCGAAGGUGACCUGUGAGGGUUGCUGGAGGUAUCAGAAGUGCGAAUGCUGACAUAAGUAACGAUAAAGCGGGUGAAAAGCCCGCUCGCCGGAAGACCAAGGGUUCCUGUCCAACGUUAAUCGGGGCAGGGUGAGUCGACCCCUAAGGCGAGGCCGAAAGGCGUAGUCGAUGGGAAACAGGUUAAUAUUCCUGUACUUGGUGUUACUGCGAAGGGGGGACGGAGAAGGCUAUGUUAGCCGGGCGACGGUUGUCCCGGUUUAAGCAUGUAGGCUGAUUGUCCAGGCAAAUCCGGAUAAUCAAGGCUGAGGUGUGAUGACGAGGCACUACGGUGCUGAAGUAACAAAUGCCCUGCUUCCAGGAAAAGCCUCUAAGCAUCAGGUAACAUUAAAUCGUACCCCAAACCGACACAGGUGGUCAGGUAGAGAAUACCAAGGCGCUUGAGAGAACUCGGGUGAAGGAACUAGGCAAAAUGGUGCCGUAACUUCGGGAGAAGGCACGCUGGUGUGUAGGUGAAGCCCCUGCGGGUGGAGCUGAGACCAGUCGAAGAUACCAGCUGGCUGCAACUGUUUAUUAAAAACACAGCACUGUGCAAACACGAAAGUGGACGUAUACGGUGUGACGCCUGCCCGGUGCCGGAAGGUUAAUUGAUGGGGUUAUCCGUAAGGAGAAGCUCUUGAUCGAAGCCCCGGUAAACGGCGGCCGUAACUAUAACGGUCCUAAGGUAGCGAAAUUCCUUGUCGGGUAAGUUCCGACCUGCACGAAUGGCGUAAUGAUGGCCAGGCUGUCUCCACCCGAGACUCAGUGAAAUUGAACUCGCUGUGAAGAUGCAGUGUACCCGCGGCAAGACGGAAAGACCCCGUGAACCUUUACUAUAGCUUGACACUGAACAUUGAGCCUUGAUGUGUAGGAUAGGUGGGAGGCUUUGAAGCGUGGACGCCAGUCUGCGUGGAGCCAACCUUGAAAUACCACCCUUUAAUGUUUGAUGUUCUAACGUUGGCCCCUUAUCGGGGUUGCGGACAGUGUCUGGUGGGUAGUUUGACUGGGGCGGUCUCCUCCCAAAGCGUAACGGAGGAGCACGAAGGUUAGCUAAUCCUGGUCGGACAUCAGGAGGUUAGUGCAAUGGCAUAAGCUAGCUUGACUGCGAGCGUGACGGCGCGAGCAGGUGCGAAAGCAGGUCAUAGUGAUCCGGUGGUUCUGAAUGGAAGGGCCAUCGCUCAACGGAUAAAAGGUACUCCGGGGAUAACAGGCUGAUACCGCCCAAGAGUUCAUAUCGACGGCGGUGUUUGGCACCUCGAUGUCGGCUCAUCACAUCCUGGGGCUGAAGUAGGUCCCAAGGGUAUGGCUGUUCGCCAUUUAAAGUGGUACGCGAGCUGGGUUUAGAACGUCGUGAGACAGUUCGGUCCCUAUCUGCCGUGGGCGCUGGAGAAUUGAGGGGGGCUGCUCCUAGUACGAGAGGACCGGAGUGGACGCAUCACUGGUGUUCGGGUUGUCAUGCCAAUGGCACUGCCCGGUAGCUAAAUGCGGAAGAGAUAAGUGCUGAAAGCAUCUAAGCACGAAACUUGCCCCGAGAUGAGUUCUCCCUGAGACUUUAAGUCUCCUGAAGGAACGUUAAAGACGAUGACGUUGAUAGGCCGGGUGUGUAAGCGCAGCGAUGCGUUGAGCUAACCGGUACUAAUGAACCGUGAGGCUUAACCUU